UACGUAGGGAGCGAGCGUUGUCCGGAAUUACUGGGUGUAAAGGGAGCGUAGGCGGGGAUGCAAGUUGGGUGUCAAAACUACCGGCUCAACUGGUAGUCGCACUCAAAACUGCAGCUCUUGAGUGAAGUAGAGGCAGGCGGAAUUCCUAGUGUAGCGGUGAAAUGCGUAGAUAUUAGGAGGAACACCAGUGGCGAAGGCGGCCUGCUGGACGAUAACUGACGUUGAGGCUCGAAAGCGUGGGGAGCAAACAGG
rnacentral:rRNA from 1 species